CCCUUAGAUGUUCUGGGCUGCACGCGCGCUACACUGAUGCGUUCAACGAGUGUAUAACCUUGGCCGAUAGGUCUGGGUAAUCUUUGAACGCUGUUCGUGAUUGGGAUAGACCUUUGCAAUUAUGGGUCUUCAACGAGGAAUUCCUAGUAAACGCAAGUCAUCAGCUUGCAUUGAUUACGUCCCUGCCCUUUGUACACACCGCCCGUCGCACCUACCGAUUGAAUGGUCCGGUGAAAUCUCGGGACGGCGGCUUGGUCGCUUGCGUCCGACUGCUGAAACUUGAUUAAACCAUAUCAUUUAGAGGAAGGUGAAGUCGUAACA
rnacentral:rRNA from 1 species